rnacentral:rRNA from 1 species
CCUACGGGUGGCUGCAGUGAGGAAUAUUGGUCAAUGGACGAAAGUCUGAACCAGCCAAGUCGCGUGCAGGAUGACUGCCCUAUGAGUUGUAAACUUCUUUUGUAAGGGAAUAAAACGAGUCACGUGUGGGUUUUUGAAUGUACUUUAUGAAUAAGGAUCGGCUAACUCCGUGCCAGCAGCCGCGGUAAUACGGAGGAUUCGAGCGUUAUCCGGAUUUAUUGGGUUUAAAGGGUGCGUAGGCUGUCUGUUAAGUCAGUGGUGAAAGUUGGCGGCUUAACCCUAAGAUUGCAAUUGAUACUGGUAGUCUUGAGUGCAGGUGAGGUAGGCGGAAUGCGUGGUGUAGCGGUGAAAUGCUUAGAUAUCACGAAGAACCCCGAUUGCGAAGGCAGCUUACUAAUCCGCGUCUGACGUUGAUGCUCGAAAGCGUGGGUAGCAAACAGGAUUAGAUACCCUUGUAGUC